GAUGGGAUGGGGGAAACACAGCAGUUCUUGGUAAAGUCCUUUGUAAUAAUAGUUUGAUUUUUUUUAUUUCGAGAGAAUCUUUCAUUUUCCUAUGUAUGCUUUUUUGCUUUUUUGCCCAGUUUCCUUAUCACUUGCUGUAGAUGGCUUAUUUUGCAUUCAUGCAGACUAUGUUGCAAGUCUGUUUCAUCUAGUAAACUGAAAAUUAUUGCUUAAUCAAACUGCCGUUUGUCUUUUAUAUUUAAGGCCUUCCCCCCCUCCUUCCCUAUGAGUUCUAACUUAGUAAUUUCAAAUGUGACCUUUUAUAUCUAAGAUCAGUAUAGUAAACUUAGCCCACAGUGGCAAAUAAUGAGUAAUAUUGUAAUAUGUUCCAGUUGCACCUCAGUAUGUUAAACAGGUAAUGUAAGAAGUUCUCUGAAAUGACAGCAAGUAAGUUCUGAAACAUACAUCAUGCAUGAGUAGGAAUAAAACCCAAGUUCCCCAUAACGUAGCUAAUUUAACGCUGCAUAAAAAUACGAAAGUGUAACCCAUGAAGGACACUUUUUCUUUCCACUGCAAAGUUAGCCACUUUGCUGUUUUUCCUCUUUUUUAAACUUUGAAAAUAGACUCUUUCCAGAAAUACUUUUACCUUGUUUCAAACGCCUAAGACCAGUAAUUUAAAAAUUACUAAAAGGUUUACUUUGUUCAUUAAUAAAGCAUUUAACAAUUCAAAUUAUAUGCACCUUUUACCUAGUUGAAAAAAAUACACAUUCCUGUUUUCACAUUAUAGCAACUGAUUAAGCUGAAGCUAUAAGUCAUUUUUUAUAGAUGAGUGAUCCGCAUCUCCAUCAAUUAGAACACUGGAAAAGAUGUUUUAUAAAAGAGGUAUUUAAUUUUGUUUGUAGGAUUAACUCAUGCAAAUAAUAAAAAAGAUAUCCUGUUGGUUCAAUAGUACACUGUCUCCUUUAAGGAAGGAAGCGUGAUGAAUGAAUGAUGUGUAGACUUGAGGGAUGACUAUUAAAGGGGACGUAGGAUGAAGAGAAAGAACCUACAGAUGACAAUGAAUGUAAACUUAUUUUUUUUCAUGUGUAAGCAGUGUGUUCGCUGGUGAUAUCCAGAUCCUAACAAGAUUACUUGGUUAGCUGGUUAGGACCAGUAACUGGAUUGCGACCACUAUGAUAAUAUUUUGAACCAAAUGUUAAUGCUUGAUGCAGAAUUGUAAAGCAGCAUCUGGUUCCUAUAUAGCCUUAAGGAUUAAUUUUAGUGAUCCUCAAGGAAUUAAAUAGGGAAUUUCAGAAAUGUAGACUGCAAAGGCAGUAUACAGGAAAAGGUGGAGUGGGUUUUGUUUAUGAGGGUGUCUGAAAACUAAAAUUGAGCGGGGUAUCAUGGUAUAGUUGGACAGUAUUGGUCCUUCACGCUUUGGCCAUAUUGUAUAAUGGAGCUUUUACCAAAGAUGUAUGAGAAGUGUAAGACUAUAAAAAAAGAACUAUUCAAAGUAAAACUCUUGACAAACAUUUUACUUAAAGCAGAUGCAAAAGGGUAUUCUCAUGUAGGCUCCUGUUGGUGCAGAGGGAUUUUUUGAUUUCAAGAUACAGCUAAAGUAUGAAGUUCUCAGUUUCACUUUAGUAGAAAAAGCUCUAGAAAUGAGGCUGAUAAACACAUCUAAGAACACUGGUUGCUUUCUAAAAUUUCCAAAGCUCCACCAUAAAUGUAAUUCUUAGUGUUUUAAAUGAUUGCAUUUUAAAGUAUAUAAAUAUGGGUUAUCCAAUAUCAAUGCUAUAGUAACAUCCUGAAACAAAACAAGCACAAAGGUAUAAAUGCCUAAACUGGAGGAAACUUGAAACCCUCAUGUUAAAUCUUAAAUGUAGUAUUUCUAACUUGUGAAGACAGAUUGGUAGGCGGCCAUUUUUUUGUGUCUUAAAAUAACUGGGGGCAUAGUUAAAAUUUUAUACAUCAAGUGAUUGCUAUUAUUGAAUGUUGCAGGUGAGAUGUGGUUAUUUUUAGUUUAUUUGAAAUGUUCGACUGGAAAGGGGGGAGGGGGAAGCAAAUAUUUGAAAUUUGGAAAACCCUAAACCUUUUGGUAAGAAAUUGUAAUUUUCACUUAAAAUUUUCUUUAAGGAUAUAAGAGGUUUAUAAUUGAUGUAGUUAAAUUGAACAAUAACCAUUGGUGACUGGAGCAGGUAAUUAUAGCCUGCAGAAAAAAUUAUAAUCCAAGAAUUUUAAAAAUAAGAUCCUGAAGUUGUUUAAUUGCAUCUGUUUCUGUAUUUAUGUGAAUUUAUAAACUGCAGUAAGUUUUGAAUGAGGUUAAUCUUGUUUAAUAUAAGUAAAUGAGUCUGUAGACUGUGAUCUCCCCAAACUAAAAAGUACAGUACUUGGAAUUGUGUUCUUUAUGGUUGUAGUGUUGGUAAAGCACUAAUAUGCAGAAAAUAAAGGAAUUACACAGUG
ensembl:lncRNA